AACGCGAAAGCCCUUUCGGGGGUAAGUAGAGUGGCGUCCGGGUGAGUAACACGUGGGUAAUCUGCCUUCGGGUGGGGAAUAACCCAGGGAAACUUGGGCUAAUACCGCAUAAUGCAGCGGCACCUAAUGGUGAUUAGUUGUUAAAGCGGGGGAUCGCAAGACCUCGCGCCUGAAGAGGAGCCUGCGGCAGAUUAGCUAGUUGGUGAGGUAAUGGCUCACCAAGGCUGCGAUCUGUAGCUGGUCUGAGAGGACGGCCAGCCACACUGGCACUGACACACGGGCCAGACUCCUACGGGAGGCAGCAGUGGGGAAUUUUGGGCAAUGGGCGCAAGCCUGACCCAGCAACGCCGCGUGAGGGAGGAAAUCCUUCGGGAUGUAAACCUCACAAGCAAGGGAAGAGAGUCAUGGGCUGAAUAAUCCCAUGGUGCGACGGUACCUUGCGUAAGCCACGGCUAACUACGUGCCAGCAGCCGCGGUAAUACGUAGGUGGCAAGCGUUGUUCGGAAUUAUUGGGCGUAAAGGGCGCGUAGGCGGUUUGUUAAGUCGGCUGUGAAAGCCCGGGGCUCAACCCCGGAGGGUCAGCCGAUACUGGCAGGCUAGAGUACGGAAGAGGUAGCUGGAAUUCCCGGUGUAGCGGUGAAAUGCGUAGAUUUCGGGAGGAACACCUGAGGCGAAGGCGGGGCUACUGGGGCCGAUACUGACGCUGAUGUGCGAAAGCAAGGGGAGCGAACGGGAUUAGAUACCCCGGUAGUCCUGGCCCUAA
rnacentral:rRNA from 1 species